UGUAUGUGUGUGUGUCUCUGUAUGUAUGUGUCUGUAUGAUACAGACACAUACAUACAGAGACACACACAUGCACA